AUAUUUUAUCGGAUGUCGAAGGUGGAGAAUUAGAAUAAGGGAACAAAAGGGUGUGUAACAAACUGAUGUCCGAUUCAGUUUUGCGAAGAAAAGGAUCGUAUAGCAUACGAUGGAAUCGGUGGUCAAAUUAAAAUACCUAUCAUCAUCAGGAAUAAGAUAUCAAUGAUGCGUUGGGUGGAUGUGAGUUACAAUUAUUAUAAGGAUCGGCGGCUGGCGCAUUUUUGGCAUCCUUCUCCUCCUCAUCAUUUUUGCAUGUAGAUAUAUGUGUAGUAUAUAGAGGCGCAUUUUUGGCAUCCUUCUCCUCCUCAUCAUUUUUGCAUAUAGAUAUAUGUGUAGUAUAUAGAGUGGUGAGAGGGUCUCACUAGGGUUUAGAAUGUUUUGAAAUAUGUACUUGAUAAAUGUUGGUAUUCGAAAUUGUAUAAUGUGUGUUUUCUUUA